rnacentral:tRNA from 1 species
GGGGCAUUAGCUAAGUUGGUAUAGCGCUACGUUCGCAUCGUAGAGGCCAGCGGUUCGAAUCCGCUAUGCUCCA